UGAAAAAGUAUAAAUGGAAAAUAUUUGCAAUGUGUACUCCUUUCUUACAUUAUGCUUUUUUUGAAGGUGUUCACCUUGUUAUACAAGAUAUUCCACUUCAGGAUAUUUCACUUAGAGGACAACUUGAAAGAAAAUGCUCUAAAACUUAAGCAAAUUAAGGUAGUUCAAGACCUUGUGGCUUUUGGCUCCCAUGGCACAUCCCAUCAUCUUAUCUCUUAAUCAUGCAUGGUGGUUCAACAGUUUAAUCUCUGAAGAUACAUAUUAAAGCAGAUUUAUCUUCUAUUGAAAUGUGCUCUUCUGACUCAUUUUUAUGGACUGGGAAUCCUUGAAGUGGUAGUCCUG
rnacentral:lncRNA from 1 species